AUGCCUUAUGUGUACAGAAAAUAAUGAUUGUGGUGAUGCCUGAGUCCUCACUGCUUAUGUGAGACAAAUUUUUGAGCAGGUAAAGGUUGCUCCCUAAGGCUACCUGCCUAUUUUGUGGGAUGUCUGGGUAGGCAGUCUGCCUG